GUGGCAAAUGAUCAGAACUUCAUUUGAGUUUUCUUGAUGAAUAAAUGGACAAACAAUGAUAUGUAGAGGCCAGAGUCUGCAAUCAAAGUGUCAGCAGGGCCGUGGUUCUUCUGGAGGCUUUAGGGGGAGUCUCUCUCCUUCCCUCUUCCAGGUUCUGGCAGCUGGAGGCAUUCCGUGGCUUGGGGCUGCGUGACUCCGAUCUCUGCCUGCAUCUUCACGUGAAUCUGCACAUGGCCUUCUUCCCUGUGUUGCUUUGUCUCUACUCUCACUCUCUUUUCUCUUAUACGAACACUGGUCAUUGGAUCCAGAAUGGGGCAUUGGAUCAUGGAUCCUAAAUCCGGGAUUACCUCAUCUCAAAAUCCUUAACUUAAUUACAUCUUCAAAGGCCCUAUUUCCUAUUUCCAAAUAAGAUCAUAUUCACAGGUAUCAAAGGUUAGGACUUGAUGUAUAUUUUUGGGAGACACUAUUCAACCUGUUACAGAUGUAUUACAAAUAUCUUUUUUGAGUUUCUGGCUUGCCUUUUCACGUUCUUUAUGUUCUCUUUUGAUG
rnacentral:lncRNA from 1 species